UUGUCACGACUCGUUGUCAUGACUCGUCCCCGAUCAUGUCCAUAGUUUCUGUCCGUGUGUCUGUGUGCUCGCCCCUCCCCUCCUGUGUGCCAAUGAUUAGUGUGAUCAUUCUCACCUGCCUCUUGUUACCUGUCUUGUAUUUAAGUCCUGUCUGUGUGUCACUCCCUGUCGGAUCAUUGUUAAUGUCAUGAUGUCUUUUUGGUUCCUGUUGUCUUGUUGCUGUCAUUGGUAGUGUCACCCGGUCUUUUUGUUUCACGUCUUUUUCGGUCAGUCCUGUUGUUGGUUUUGUUAGAGUUAUGUCAGUUUACCGAGUCUGUAUUUUGAGUUCCGCCAAUAAACCCUGGUCCAAGCUGCACUUGGUCGCCCUGCUCCAUUUCCACUCCGAUUCGUGACAGUUUGCUUAAGAUCAG